rnacentral:rRNA from 1 species
CUGAUUAUAUUAAAGAGCCGCAGUAUUCUGACUGUGCGAAGGUAGCAUAAUAAAUUGUCUUUUAAAUGGAGGCUUGAAUGAAAGGUUGGACAAAGUAUCAUCUGUUUCUUAAAUAUUUAUUGAAUUUGACUUUCAAGUGAAAAGGCUUGAAUAAAUUAAAAAGACGAUAAGACCCUAUAAAUCUUUACAAUAAACAUGUUCUAUAUUUUAAUUUAUAAGUAUAUAAAAUAUUAAAUUUGUAUUUGUUUCGCUGGGGCGGCGUGGAUAUAUUAAUAAACUGUCUAUAUGUUAAAUCCAAUAAUUAUUGAUUAGUGAGAUUGAUCCUUAAAUAGAUUAAAAGAUUAAGAUACUUUAGGGAUAACAGCGUUAUUUUUUUUGAGAGUUCUUAUCGAAGAAAAAGUUUGCGACCUCGAUGUUGAAUUAAAGUAUCUUUAUGGUGCAGCCGCUAUAAGAGAGAGUCUGUUCGACUUUUAAUACUUUACAUGAUCUGA